CACGUACAUAUUUUAAAAAUUUAAAAUCCAUUGUUCCAAACUUUACAAUAUUUAAUGACACUCAACCGAUCUAAUUUUUGAAAAUGUAUUUGUUUACCUUAUUAUUGCCAGCAAAAUCGAGCUAUCCUGGCCGCCAUUACAGAAAACUUCCGUGGCAUCAAGUCCCGCUUCGAAAAGCGAUUUUUCGCUGAAAACACACGUAUAGCGACUUUUUGCAUUUUUUUUUAUAUGGAGUUUAGCAAAAAAAAAUCUGAAUCGCGUUCGCAAACGCGACAAUUGCUAAGCGUUUAGUGACGGGGUGAAACGUGUUUGUAUGGAUUUUGAUUAAUUUAAUAAAUUUAUUCAAUUACUGAUAAAUGUAUUGGUUUACGUUACACAUUUAUGUACAUUACACAUUUUUUCAUUCAACGUAUUUUUCGAGCAUCUGUCACAAUCUUUUGCAAUUAUCUUCCACGCUUCUUUCAACUGCGCAUGAACAUGGAGCAACAUCGAUCGAAUUUCAAGGCGCCUCCACCAAGCUCCCCAUUGCAAAUCGUUCGCAUUAAUAGUGUUGCAGCGUGCUGAGGGUAGAUUGAUAGAAGCUCACAAAUGAAGUGAAUUUUCACGUUUGAAAAACGUUUGUUCGAGUGGAACAAGAACACCAAAGUGAAUUAGUUGAAAAAGGUUCGUGUAAAAAAUGCCUUAAUAUGUCGACUAGGGAAAAUUGUUUGACGCCACGAAUAUGAAGGUCAUCUACAAACGCUUUGGAACAGGGAAGUAGUUUAGCUGUUGAACAUCCAGCCUGUACAGGCGGUAGACAUUUUUUUUUACUUGUCUUUACCUUGUAUACUCUAACCUAACUAGUUAAUCUCAUUUCAGCAGUCGAAUAGUUCUUCUUGCGCGAGCGUGUGUGCGCGUGUGUGUGUGUGCGAGUGUGAAUGAGAUUGUAUGCUUUAAAGCGAAUGUAAAUGUGGGUUGGGGCAUUCACAAAGGCAUUAAAAAAAGCACUAAUACCGCUUAUUCUACUAUCCCAACCCCUCCCUAACCAAACUUACAGCAAAGUUCCUUCGCCUGCUGGCUACCGCUGCAGAAGCGCAUCCAUAUGGACGAAACAGGCUGGACCAUACUGCGUAUCCUGUCGCAGCGUAAUAAUGACGAAAUAGCGAAAGAAUUCGUCAAGCUAAAGUCGGAAGCACGGCAGGAGAUUGCGGCUCAGGGCUAAAAGGCAAAAGUUAAACAAAUAUGUCAGUGUUGCGUGGACCGAAAACAUAAUAAUUCGUUAUUUACUAUUCGUGAAUAUAAGACAAGAGGGAGGAGAAGAAAAAAACACAACAAAAAAAAAAACAAAAAUUCCCAAAAAAAAAGAACACACACAAACUAUUCAACUUACAUCAACCUAGAUCCUAUCCAAGCAAAGUAUAAGAAAUGUAAGCAGUGUAAGAAACGUAAGCAGCUAUGAACGAAGUAAGACAAACCAACAAUUGAUGGGUAACCGAAUGCAAAACCAGGGAAACGCAUACGGGAAUGUAUCGAUCAGGUGACGAGCAGAGGGUUUAGGAAGGCAUAGAGAGAACCGCAAAGCGAGAGAUGUUAGGUCAGCAGUAAAACUAUACACAUAACUAAUCUUUAACUCUCGACUAUACUUCUAUUCCUACGAUCGUACCAUCACUGUGUGUGUAUGUGUGUGUGUGUAUAUCCCAAUCGCAAAUUGUAUUGUCGUCAUAGUUAUACAAACAAAAACAAAACAAAAUAACUCGUCGUCUAUAGGAGCGUCUCUAAAUGGUGGCAGGACGUUUGGCAUCCGGACCGACGACGGAGGUUCCGUCCGUUCCGCUUUAUGGUUUAGUAAAUCCUGCCCAGUUUGGCCCACUUCCCGUCUAACUACUAUCAACACGAAUGCAACCAUGAAACAAUCGAUGUUUGGGAGCGGCUCAAUAUGCUCCCCAUAUCCAACUUCCUUACUCUGAAUAUAUCUGACGUUAUUACUCUUCUGCGUUCCGAUGUUAUCAGUUUCAAUUUUGAAAAAAAUAGAAAAAUAUCUCGCGUUCCGUUCGGUAAUCGACCCUUAGAGCUAUAGAUCAUCACGGUCAGCCGUAGUGUUGUAAGCGAAAAGCCAAAGCCAGCAAAAUCGAAAGAUGAAGAAAAAAAAAUGAAGAAAAAAAACAAUCAAAAACUGUUUGAAGCAAAGUCACCCGUAAAGUAUUAUGUUUUCCAUUUGAUGUUAACAAAAAACAAACCAAACAAACAAAAAAGCAAGGACAACAAAUCAUCGAUGUUGAAAAUAAUUUAAAUCAGCUAGCAAAAAAGGCGUGAAGAAAAAAAAGAACGCGAGAGAGAGAGAGAGAGAGAGAGAGAGAGAAAGCUAGGAAGAUGAAACAAGAAAAGCAACUUAACGAUUUGAAAAGACCUGUUGUUUUCGAUUCAUGCGCACAUAAACAAACAAAAAACAAUAGGAACAAAGUAGAACCGAUCGAAAAAAGGGUGGCACCGUUUGUGUGUGAAACAAACAGACAAACUAUCCAACCGGUGAACAGUGAACAGUGGCUCACAAAUGGUAUCGAAACAAUAUAAAUAUAAUACAUACAUACACUCGUACACCGUACAUCAUAAUCGGCAGUAGCAUCCAUGUACACGUAUAUAAAUAUCAUACAAAUAUCAUACAUACGCAUACCAAACCUACCUACCUAUUCCUGCCUACCUGCGUACCCUAUCUACCUUCCAGAAAAAGACACCCGACCUACCUACCUACCUACAGAGCACAUAAAAACAUAUUGCAUAUAGGACGAAUACAAAACCAAAACAUACCAGACACACGUAGUGUCCGAAUGCAAAAACCAAAAAAGCAACAAAAAAAAUCGUAUAAGAAGUUAUCAUAGCUGUAACAGAAGGAAACAGUAAUAUAUCACAUUAGCAUAUACCCAUACAACCCGUCGUCAGCCAUGCGAAGAACAAGUCGCGAUCAUCAUUAGCAGGGGGACGCGCGCAGAUCGGAAGUAGUGCGAUGGCGGAGAAGGAGACGCAUCAUCAUUAUAAGCUAGGAUAUGUAAAAAUGUUAUGGCACUUAGCAGAAAACAAACAAAAAAAAAAAAACCAACAGUUGAUAGAAGCUAAUACAAUUUGAUUGUUUAAACAUAUUUUCUAACAAUUCCUUGCUUAUAGUAAGAUACCAAUUCCAAAUAAAAACUUUUGCAAAAACAAUGCACCAUGAA